rnacentral:rRNA from 1 species
UACGUAGGGUGCAAGCGUUUGUCCGGAAUUAUUGGGCGUAAAGAGCUCGUAGGCGGCUUGUCGCGUCGGCUGUGAAAACCUGGGGCUCAACCCCGGGCCUGCAGCCGAUACGGGCAAGCUAGAAUUCGGUAGGGGAGACUGGAAUUCCUGGUGUAGCGGUGAAAUGCGCAGAUAUCAGGAGGAACACCGGUGGCGAAGGCGGGUCUCUGGGCCGAUAUUGACGCUGAGGAGCGAAAGCGUGGGGAGCGAACAGG